GACAGAGGCCUCGAGCGUUAGGCGGAAUCACUGGGCUUAAAGCGUGUGUAGGCGGGCCCGUAAGUGUCUUGUGAAAUCCCACGGCUCAACCGUGGAACUGCUGUGCAUACUGCGGGUCUUGGGCCAACUAGGGGCAGCCGGAACAAGCGGUGGAGCGGUGAAAUGCGUAGAUAUCGCUUGGAACGCCGAAGGUGAAAACAGGCUGCUGGGGUUGCGCCGACGCUGAGACACGAAAGCCAGGGGAGCAAACGGG
rnacentral:rRNA from 1 species